AUGUGCCGCUGCACCGCACUCCUCGCCUGUCCUCGUCCACUCCGCCACCGCAGCAGCAGCAGCUUCCAAUCCCGUCCCUCCCGUGAAGUGCUCUCUCGCCGCCCCAACAUCGCCAUGGAGGCCGCCGCCGAGCUCAGGACCCAGCUCCAAGCCCACCUCACCAUGAUGUACGCCACGGGUGCCGUGGACGCGUAUUUCCAGGAGCUGCAGGAGCUGGACGAGGGCAGUGCAGGCACGGGCCACGUCGCCGAAGUCCUCAACAUCUUCCUCAAUGACGGCGACAGGAUCCUCAGGGACAUCGACAGCCUGCUGAACAAGCCCCUGCACGAGGUGAACUUCUCCAAGGUGGACGCCCUGGUGCAGCAGCUCAAGGGGAGCAGCUCCACUGUUGGUGCUAAGAAAGUGAAUCUCGCUUGCAUGGAGUUCCAACAGUUGUACAUGGCAAAAAACAAAAAAGGAUGCCUCAUGGCAUUGGCUCUUCUUAAGGGUGAUUUCUGUGACUUGCGGAACAAGCUCCAAACUUUUAUGCAGCUGGAGCAGCAGAUCGCGUCCUUGUUUAUUAUGUAG
rnacentral:rRNA from 1 species